rnacentral:rRNA from 1 species
UUGAACGCUGGCGGCAGGCCUAACACAUGCAAGUCGAGCGGAUGAAGGGAGCUUGCUCCUGGAUUCAGCGGCGGACGGGUGAGUAAUGCCUAGGAAUCUGCCUGGUAGUGGGGGAUAACGUCCGGAAACGGGCGCUAAUACCGCAUACGUCCUGAGGGAGAAAGUGGGGGAUCUUCGGACCUCACGCUAUCAGAUGAGCCUAGGUCGGAUUAGCUAGUUGGUGGGGUAAAGGCCUACCAAGGCGACGAUCCGUAACUGGUCUGAGAGGAUGUUCAGUCACACUGGAACUGAGACACGGUCCAGACUCCUACGGGAGGCAGCAGUGGGGAAUAUUGGACAAUGGGCGAAAGCCUGAUCCAGCCAUGCCGCGUGUGUGAAGAAGGUCUUCGGAUUGUAAAGCACUUUAAGUUGGGAGGAAGGGCAGUAAGUUAAUACCUUGCUGUUUUGACGUUACCAACAGAAUAAGCACCGGCUAACUUCGUG